UGAGUAGUUUGCUUAUGUUGCGGCUCUGUAUAGACUUGUUCCUCAGUGUUAGGCGGGGCGCUCAGUCUCACCUUUACACACGGCACCUCCCUCACAAAGGCCCGUGAGCUUUUCCGGUUGUGUGAGUAAAGAGCCGCAUGGAUGUGCCUGUGUGCGCCCAGAAAUAGGUAUUAGCAUAAGCUCUGUCUGUCUUCUCAGACCCUGUGGAUUAAUGCUUCAAUAAAAGAGAAUGGAACCCCCUCCAGCAAAGAGACAACAUUCAGUUGUUCUUGAACAGAAUGUGCCAAGAGCUAGGGCACCCCAAUCUGAACCUCCAGACUCUCUCUUCAUUGACAGCAACUUUCCCUGGGAGGAAGAGCUGCAUGUAGGAUGUAUUGAGUGGAGGAGACCACAGGAGAUAUGUGCUAAGCCAAGGUUUAUUUUAGAUGGAGCAACAAGAAUGGAUGUCUGCCAGGGAAAGCUGAGUAAUUGCUGGUUCCUGUCAGCUGUUGCGUGUCUGUCUCUAUAUCCUCAACUUCUGGAGAAGGUAGUCCUCCCUGGGCAGGACUUUGUCGGUGCUUAUGAUGGAAAGUUCAGAUUCCAGUUUUGGCAGUAUGGUCAGUGGGUCUUGGUUGAGAUAGAUGACCGCUUACCCACUGUUCGUAUCCAAAGAAAUGAAGAGGCCGCACAUAAUAGAGAGGAAUAUGAGUUACUGUUCAUGCACUCUUGGAAAAAAGACGAGUUCUGGAGUUCUCUUCUAGAGAAAGCAUAUGCCAAGCUGAAAGGCGGAUACUCUGCUCUUCAACUAGGAUUUGCAGGAGAAGCUUUAGUAGAUAUGACUGGUGGAGUAGCACAGACAUGCUACACAAAUGGUCCCCUGAACAUGUUAUGGGUCAGUCUAAGCCAUCUUCUACAGCAAGGGGCCCUUACUUGUUGUGGAAACACAGAGGGUGAACUAGAGAUGGCUAACUCCUUGGGAAUUCUAAGUCAUCACAUGUACUCAGUGACUGGGGCUAAACAGGUUCAAACAUUACACGGCUCUGUUUCUUUACUUAGAGUUCGAAAUCCAUGGGGACACACAGAGUGGUCUGGACCUUGGAGAGAUGGGGGCUCAGAGUGGCUCUCUGUAAUAAACAUCAAAGAAAUAGAGGUUGAAAACCUAGAAGAUGGGGAGUUUUGGAUGGAUGUGGAAGAUUUCCAAAAGAAUUUUCAGGUCCUGGAAAUCUGUCACUUAGGACCUGAAAGUCUAUCACAAAUUGGAAGUGUUGCCAGACCUUGGGAGUAUGUUACUUAUGAGGGGUGCUGGUUAAAAGACAUUUCCAGUGGUGGAAGCAUUGAGUGCAAAGAUCAUUUCUGGAUGAAUCCCCAGUACACACUGAGUCUUGUCACAGAAGAUACUGACUCCAACCCUAUGUGCAGCAUUAUUGUGUCUGUGAUGUUGAAGCACAAACGCCUGAAGGCUAAAGACAUGCGAGUAAUGUGUUAUAUAUUUCAGGGGAAUGAAGACCAUGUCUACCUCUCCCAGGAGAUACUCCAGUGCUCCCAGCCCGUGCUGAGUGUUAGCUCAUGUGAUAAAAAACGGGAAGCAGUCCUCUCCACAAGCCUGCCACCAGGGAGAUAUAUUAUUAUCCCAUCAUUAGAAACAACAAGUGAUGAGGGCGAGUUCCUGAUCAGAAUUCUAACUGAGAAAGGCAGCAGUGCUAGACCUACGGACAGCAAGGCAGCAUGUGGUGAAUCAGCAGCACAGUCUGUACGUCCUACAGAUGAGCAAUGUCACAGCAGGUUCCUGCUAUUUUCAGACCAGGAUGGAAGAAUAACUAAUGAAGGGCUCCACCAUCUUUUAACUUCCUUGAUGAAGGAUUUUGAUCCUCUUUUACCAGAAAUAACUAUGGAGUCCUGCUGCCGAUUAAUAGCCUCACUGGAUUCUGUGACUUUGAAAAGACCAGUGCUGAGGGGGCCUUGUGCUGGGAGCAGUUUGACAGACUUUGGAAGAACAUCAUCACUGGAAGUCUCAUAUUCUCUAACUUGCAAAGUAGCAAGGACAGAAACCUUGACAAGGAUCAAAUUGGAGCAGCUCUACAGUCUGCAGGCCUGAUAACAGACAAUUUUCUAGUGCGACUGGUCCAGCUGAGAUAUGCAGAUAAGGAUGGAUCACUAAGCUACUCUGCAUUCAUCUGCUGUCUCCUAAAAAUAAAAGCUGUAACGGGAAUGUUUGAGGUUGCAGACUCUACAGGCUCCGGCACUGUAUCACUAAAUUAUCAUCAGUGGCUGCAGUUAGCUUUGUACAGCUGACUUUGAGAGCAAGCAGAGCCUUAUGCACACAGACUUAAUGGGGAGAGCUGGAAAGGAACUUCUUGUUGACUGAAACAUCAACAGGGAUGUUAUACUGAUAGUCAGACAGAUGACUGCACCCGGGUUUUUCCUUCCAAUAUGUGAGGAAUGUCAACAAGGAAUGGUCCAGUAUACUGCAAAUGAGGGGUUCUACUAAUACUGAAGUAUUCCAUUAGUACCUCAGAGUUAAAUGUUUACUAAAAUGUGCUUUGCUGUGAAAUUAAUUGAAUCUCCAUGAACACAACGGCUAGGACCAGAUUCCUCUAUGAGGCGGAAGUUUUGUUUAUUAGUAAACUACAUUAUAUCGACUUAACACAGGAUAGAACAUGUGAACAUGCCAUGAUUAAUUUAAAUUAAAGUAAUUUAUAAAUGUACAUUGAGCUGUAUAACCAUAAAAUAGCAUAUAAUCUGCAAUAAAAUGAUUGAUUGUUAUA